rnacentral:rRNA from 1 species
UACGAAGGGGACUAGCGUUGUUCGGAAUUACUGGGCGUAAAGCGCACGUAGGCGGAUUAGUAAGUCAGGGGUGAAAUCCCGGGGCUCAACCUCGGAACUGCCUUUGAUACUGCUGAUCUCGAGUCCGGAAGAGGUGAGUGGAAUUCCUAGUGUAGAGGUGAAAUUCGUAGAUAUUAGGAAGAACACCAGUGGCGAAGGCGGCUCACUGGUCCGGUACUGACGCUGAGGUGCGAAAGCGUGGGGAUCGAACAGG